rnacentral:rRNA from 1 species
UCAAACUUGAGAGUUUGAUCCUGGCUCAGAACGAACGCUGGCGGCAUGCCUAAUACAUGCAAGUCGAACGAGACC